CUUCAUCGAGCCGAGCCACAACGGCUGCUCGGCCGGCCGUCCCUGCCCGUACGUCGCCAGCAGCGCGCCGGCCUC
rnacentral:antisense_RNA from 1 species